rnacentral:rRNA from 1 species
AUUUGAAAGCCUUUUUGGCAUUGUAUUCUGAAGUAUUUAUCCUGAGUAAUGAUGUUUAAGUCUUCUGGAAAGGAGCGCCAUGGAGGGUGAUAGCCCCGUGUGACAUCCCACUCAUUGUAGGAUUUAUACAUGGAGUCGAGUUGUUUGGGAAUGCAGCUCAAACGGGUGGUAUGCUCCAUCUAAAGCUAAAUAUCUGUGAGAGACCGAUAGCGAACAAGUACUGUGAAGGAAAGAUGAAAAGAACUUUGAAAAGAGAGUGAAAAAGUACGUGAAAUUGUUGAAAUGGAAGGGUAGGCCGCUAACCAUGUAGAACCGUGUUUGGGGGGAAGAUAAAAGCUGAAGAAUGUGGCUCCUCGGAGUGUUAUAGCUUCAGUCAAUAUUCCCAUCCGAGCGCGAGG